rnacentral:rRNA from 1 species
UACGUAGGGCGCAAGCGUUAUCCGGAAUUAUUGGGCGUAAAGAGCUCGUAGGCGGUUUGUCGCGUCUGCUGUGAAAGACCGGGGCUCAACUCCGGUUCUGCAGUGGGUACGGGCAGACUAGAGUGCAGUAGGGGAGACUGGAAUUCCUGGUGUAGCGGUGAAAUGCGCAGAUAUCAGGAGGAACACCGAUGGCGAAGGUAGGUCUCUGGGCUGUAACUGACGCUGAGGAGCGAAAGCAUGGGGAGCGAACAGG